CGACCGUGUCUGCUAGAAGUAGUCCUGAUGGUGGCAUGAUAGCUGGUGUGGUUGUAGCUGUCAUCAUAGUUGUUGCUGUGGUCGUGGUCGUGGUUGUCGUUCUACAUAGGAGGAAUAUAGCAUGCUUCGCUGGGCGGAAUAAACCUGAAGGAUCGAAUCGGGACGAUGAGAGAACUGGCACUCCGCAACCUGAAUCCGUUUUUCACGUCAACAGGGCAUUUGAAGGUGAAGAUACACAACCUGGGCC